rnacentral:rRNA from 1 species
CGGAGGAAAAGAAACUAACAAGGAUUCCCCUAGUAACGGCGAGUGAAGCGGGAUGAGCUCAAACUUAAAAUCUCCGUUGCUUGCGACGGCGAAUUGUAGUCUCGAGAAGCGUUUUCAAGACGGAUGCGUGGUGCUUAAGUUGCUUGGAACGGCACAUCGUAGAGGGUGACAAUCCCGUACGUGGCACCGCGCACUGUUCACGAUGCGCUUUCUAUGAGUCGGGUUGCUUGGGAAUGCAGCCCAAAAUGGGAGG